CACACAUAUGUAGGAAAAACCUGCUUCAUGGAUAAAAAUCCAAGUUUUGUCCAUAAUAAGAAAAAAAGUAACAUAAGGGGAACUUGCCCAAAGAUGUACGACUGGCAAAUAAAUACAUAAAAAACAAAACAAAACAUGGUAUCAUUAGCCAUUGGGGAAAUGCUAACCGAGGUCACAAUAAGAAAACACUGUAGACUUGGUGGGUUGCAUUGGCUAACAAAGAGUAACUUGCUGGGUUUUGACAAGGUUGGAAAACCUGAGCCUUUACCUAGCAUAGGGAAAGUACAAUGGUGCAGUACAAUGGUAUUCUUUAAAGAACAGCCCGAGGGAGACUUAAACCAUUAAACACACACUAUCUUCUCUCUCCUUGAUCUACAUCCAAGAGAAAGAAAAGCGUAUGUCCAUACACAACUUUUAUGAGGGUUUAUCAUUUGUAGUUGUCAAAACAAGGAAAUGACCCACAUAUUCAAAAUAGUUCAUAGAAGAGCAAACUGUAUAUAUUCAUAUAAUGAAACAUCCCACAGCAAUAAAAAAGAAGUGACCUCUUGGUACGUACCACAUGGGUAAAUGUCAAAACAAGUAGGCUUGUUGAAAAAAAAAAAGUACAUCCUGUAUAAUCGUAAUGGCAUGAAAUCCUAGAAAAUGCGCGCUAGUCUAUGGUGAUAGAAAAGAGACCAGUGGGUAUUUGGGAAUGAGGAAGAGGAUAGAAAGAAGUGCGCCGAAGGAAGCGCAAAGGAAGGAGAAAAUGUCUGAGAGGAAUGAAAACCCCAUCCGCAUGGCUGCGUUAGGGUCACGGGUACACAGAGUGCCAGCGCUCGUGAGGUUGUACACUGCAAAUGCCAUUUGUGCGUCAGGAGGCUUUGUAUUUGGGGUCAGCAUGAGUAGUUGCCCCGGAAUCUCCUUGCCAACCCUCCCACAUCACACUUGGUAUUCUUGGGGGCGUGGCUUAGGGGAAGCCAGCAGGAUAGAAAGCACCAUCCCUCAUCUUUGGUGAGGCAGGAAGUAUCUGGCGAUUAGACGUGCACAAACCAGGAUGCUUUGGAAGUGUGGUGUCCAGACUGAGACGUCUUGCUUUUCGAACAUUUAUCAGAUGCCCCCGCCCACCAUUGCUUUUAGUUGGACAGCCUUCCUAAAGCUGCCAGCCUAGGCUCCUGACUGCAUAAGGACUGUGUGAAGACAAUUGAGGCUCUCUUUACCAAGUAAGGACCUUGCCGCAGCGGGAAUGAUCUUCCUUACCACACAGGACACGGAUGAGGACACUGAGGAUCACCAAGGUGAAUCUGAUUGGCCAAGAUUCUACAACCAGGAUAACAGAGAUGAACUUCACAGCCAGAUUUUGAAUUUUUAGUUGGCAUUUUGUUUCAUUUUCACUCUCCUCACAUGCUUCCUGGGUGUGUAGUUUUAAUCUACUGUCUAUUUAAUAUUCCCUGUAGCAAGAACUCUCCAGCCUUAUAGGGCUGUUCUCCCCCUGACCCCAGCACUCAAAUAAAAUGAUACUGUGGCUGUACAGCUUUCCAUGGGAAGUAUGGACACACCACAAAUUUUCCAAAAAAUCUCAAGGUUAGAGGAGAACUAGCCCUUUCAUCCCCCCUCAUUUCGAGUUCACCUCCCUGUUUUCUUAUCACCUGCCCCCUUGAAUAAAAUAAUUACCACAACACU